rnacentral:snRNA from 1 species
GUGCUUGCUUCGACAGCACAUAUACUAAAAUUGGAACGAUACAGAGAAGAUUAGCAUGACCCCUGCGCAAGGACAACACGCAAAUUCGUGAAG